AACGGACGCUGGCGGCAGGCCUAACACAUGCAAGUCGAGCGGACCUUUCGGGGUCAGCGGCGGACGGGUGAGUAACGCGUGGGAAUAUGCCCUUCUCUACGGAAUAGUCCUGGGAAACUGGGGGUAAUACCGUAUACGCCCUUUGGGGGAAAGAUUUAUCGGGGAAGGAUUAGCCCGCGUUGGAUUAGGUAGUUGGUGGGGUAAUGGCCUACCAAGCCGACGAUGCAUAGCUGGGUUGAGAGGAUGAUCAGCCACACUGGGACUGAGACACGGCCCAGACUCCUACGGGAGGCAGCAGUGGGGAAUCUUAGACAAUGGAGGCAACCCUGAUCAAGCCAUGCCGGGUGAGUGAUGAAGGCCUUAGGGUUGUAAAGCUCUUUCAGCUGGGAAGAUAAUGACGGUACCAGCAGAAGAAGCCCCGGCUAACUCCGUG
rnacentral:rRNA from 1 species